GUGGGGAAUAUUGGACAAUGGGGGGAACCCUGAUCCAGCCAUGCCGCGUGUGUGAAGAAGGCCUUUUGGUUGUAAAGCACUUUAAGUGGGGAGGAGGCUUACCUGGUUAAUACCUGGGCUAAGUGGACGUUACCCACAGAAUAAGCACCGGCUAACUCUGUGCCAGCAGCCGCGGUAAUACAGAGGGUGCGAGCGUUAAUCGGAUUUACUGGGCGUAAAGCGCGCGUAGGUGGUUAAUUAAGUCAAAUGUGAAAUCCCCGAGCUUAACUUGGGAAUUGCAUUCGAUACUGGUUAGCUAGAGUAUGGGAGAGGAUGGUAGAAUUCCAGGUGUAGCGGUGAAAUGCGUAGAGAUCUGGAGGAAUACCGAUGGCGAAGGCAGCCAUCUGGCCUAAUACUGACACUGAGGUGCGAAAGCAUGGGGAGCAAACAGGAUUAGAAACCCGGGUAGUCC
rnacentral:rRNA from 1 species